GCCCGGGUGGCGGAAUCGGUAGACGCAACGGACUUAAAAUCCGUUUAUCUUCGGAUAGUGCGGGUUCAAGUCCCGCCCCGGGCACCA
rnacentral:tRNA from 1 species